UGAUUGAAGGUAAAGACUAGGCAACUACGUCAUUCUUCCAACCUGAGAAGGUUCUAGAAUCUAGGCUCAAGACCAGCAAUGGAGCAGAAGACUCAAGUUCCAGCCUUCAUCCAUUCAUCGGUGUUGUUUUCUGGGUUUGAGGUUCCACGUUCAGGAAACAAGAGUGUUUAUGCACUGGGUUGCCAUGCUCACUGAAACAUCUUCCCCAAACAAUGAAAUGUCAACUCAGUCCAACCACUAGAUCUUAGCAACACCUCUACAGGAAAUCCUGGGGUCAGAAGAACAUGGUAGAUGCCAUCACAGGUGCACGAUCAACAAAUCUAAACCGUGAGAACUAGUGCAGGGCAAAGGGUUCACUUUCUUCAUUCAACAAAUAAAUGGCAUGGAAAUGGGACCUGAAUGUGGAUUAGGGGUUUAAGAGGCUUGGCCAAAUGUGAUGUUUAAACGAUUUCUAUUCCAGUUUGUAUAAACCAACUGUAAAAAUACAUGAUGGAGCCAACCAGAUACCUUAAAAGAGGUUGGCUCCUCAAUUGCUAUUGAAAGUCAUUCCAUUUUCUUUAGGGGUAACUCUGUGUAUAUGUCAGGGUUCUCUAGAGUUACAAAACUGAUAGGAUGAAUGUAUGAUUGUCAGAGUGGCUAUCAGGAUGUGGUCUGAGUAGUCCAACAAUGGAUGGCUCUUGAUGGAAAGGCCAAGGAUCUGGUAUUUGUUUGGUUCAUGAGACUGCGUGUCUCAGUAGCCUCAGUAUGGUGCUGGAGUCCCUGGAAGGCACUAGAGAGCUUCCGGUCUUCUGUCCACAUUGGGAUCUUGAAGAUGUAGUUCUAACAUCAGUGAAGAAAUGGCUCAGGAACAGGACAGAUGAACUUGAGGGUGAGGGCAAACAUGCCAAAAAGCAAACGCUUCCUUCAUCCAUGCCCUUUUAUGUGGGCUGCUAUCAAAAGGUGUUGAUCAGAUUUGGGGUGAGUCUUCUGACUCAAGUGACCCAGAUUUAGAGAGUCUUCCCACCUCAAAUGAUCCAUUCAAGAAAUCUCUCACAGGUUUACCACCUUGGUUGGAUUUUAGUUGGUUACAGAUGUGGUCAAAUUGACAACCAAGAUUAACCAUCACACACUAUAUUGCUGUUACCAUAGUCCUUUCUGGGAUAUAUAUUAUUGUGUAUAUAAUGGGAUUUUAUAAUGCACAAUAAUACUUUACUUCAAAAUAGUCCAAUAGAAGGAAGAGUAGACAAGACUGACUUGUGAUGAUAAUGAUUGAAACUAGUAGAUUAAAUUCACGGGAAUUUAUUGCAAUGUUUUAUUUUUAUUUUUUCCUUCCUUCCUUCCUUCCUUCCUUCCUUCCUUUCUUCCUUCCUUUCCUUCUUUCUCUUGAGUUAGGUCUCAUGUUGCCCAGGCUAGCCUCCAUCUCUGGAUGUGUGGAAGGAUGAUCUUAAAUUUCAGAUCCUCCCACUUCUACCUCUCGAGUGUUGGAGUUACAGCCAUGUACUGCCAUAGUUGGUUACACAGUGAUGGGGAAUCAAACCAGAGCCUGAUGCACGCUGGAUAUGCACUCUACAGCCAAGGUGAAGUUAAAAUGAAGCACUUAGGGUAGAUCCUAGUCCAGGGCCUUGGGAAUCCAGACAAACACAAAAGGGUGAAGACACAGAAAUCAGACAAGUAAAGAAGCCGAGGCUCAUCAAAUCCUGGAACUGUGACCGACUCUAACCCUGAAGUCCUUGCGUUCAUUUAACCCUUUAAGGAAGGGUACGGAGGUGUACAUUCAUCCUUUAUUACAAAGCCUAUGUCUGAUAUGGAAAAAGAAAAGCUUUAUUCGGAACCUUUGGAAGAAUCUUAAGACUAUGAUUUCGUCUUUGGUCACUCCUUUGGAAUUUUUUGACGCGGGCAUUAACAUGGGCUAAGGUGGUCCUCGCAGCCCCACCCACGGGCGCACUUCCAGCUUCCGGCAGCAGGGGGAGCAUGUGUGCAAGAGGAGGAAAGGUGCACCCGGCAGGAAGUGUCAGUGCAUGGUCUGUCCUUAGCAGGUCCAGGCUAAGAAUACAUUCAUUUUUCUCCUUCAACAUUUAGAACCAGUGGCUGCAGGCUUCUCUACAGAGAUUCAUGCUUCCUCGUUUGUAAAGCCGGGAAAACAGUUCUGGGACUUGUAGAAAGAGGUCUCUGCUGCAUCCAAGGGAGGAAAAAAAAAUCUCAUGAAGGAGCCAGGCUUGGCUGCUGGCUUCUGUUGAGAAAGGAGAACUCAGCAAGCAGGACAAAGGGCCACCCUGAGUGCAAGCAGCACAGGACUUCUCCCGUUGACUUCCUGAGACCACCUCAAGGCUUGGAAGCUGCGCUAGUUCUGGCUUCUCCAAUGGUACAGGCUUGGGUCUCAGGCACCUGUAGGUGCUACUCACAUGGCAGAGCCCGUGAAUUAUGGCAGAGCCCGUGAAUUUCU
rnacentral:lncRNA from 1 species